rnacentral:lncRNA from 1 species
AGCUCCUGAGAAGGAUGGGUCCCCACUAUCUGUCUGUGGGCCCUUCUCCUCCCCUCUUUCCUAAGCAGGUGAAGGGAGUUGAACCGCCAGUCCUCUGGCAGGAAGACAGUGAAAGGAAACUUUUCCUAGAACUGUGAGUAACAGAGCUGCUGAAAAUGAGGCUUGGCUUUACAGGGCACAUACUGGAAAUGAAGGCUAUUAAUAGGUUCCUGCAGGACCGCUGCCACGCUGAAACCAGCUCCCAGGCGGCCAGCCUCGCCCAGCGGCGGCCAUGGGGAGACCCCAGCUCGUCGAGGGCGUUCUUGGGAUGCCAAGACUCAGGACCCCGCAUGCCACCCAUCUCCUUCCUCUGCUCCCCGGUGUCACCUGUCUCACAAAACAACCAGAAAUCCCUCAAAUAAAACAGAUUCUGU